UAUCUAAUGUAUGUAAAAUAUAAUAGAUCAGAUCUAUUACCUUGCAAGUUAGAUGUUCAAACUUUACUGAUCUAGGCUUGAGGAUGAUGUUGCGAGCCGCACAUGCAUCCGGUCUCUAGGAGUCGUCCACACGAGCCCACGAAUUACGAUCAGAAGUCCUGAUCCAGAAAAUCAGCACAGUAUGCUAGUACUGCGCUGAUCCUUCUUCGAAGGUCGAUCAGAUACCCCUUUUUUCUUGAUUUGGACUCUUCNNN
rnacentral:lncRNA from 1 species